AUCAAAAUGAUGAUUACUUUGAUAGGGACAUCUGAAAUUAAUGAUAGAUUUAUCAUUCUUAUAGAAAACUGAUUGU